AAAUUGAAGAGUUUGAUCAUGGCUCAGAUUGAACGCUGGCGGCAGGCCUAACACAUGCAAGUCGAACGGUAACAGGAAACAGCUUGCUGUUUCGCUGACGAGUGGCGGACGGGUGAGUAAUGUCUGGGAAACUGCCUGAUGGAGGGGGAUAACUACUGGAAACGGUAGCUAAUACCGCAUAACGUCGCAAGACCAAAGAGGGGGACCUUCGGGCCUCUUGCCAUCGGAUGUGCCCAGAUGGGAUUAGCUAGUAGGUGGGGUAACGGCUCACCUAGGCGACGAUCCCUAGCUGGUCUGAGAGGAUGACCAGCCACACUGGAACUGAGACACGGUCCAGACUCCUACGGGAGGCAGCAGUGGGGAAUAUUGCACAAUGGGCGCAAGCCUGAUGCAGCCAUGCCGCGUGUAUGAAGAAGGCCUUCGGGUUGUAAAGUACUUUCAGCGGGGAGGAAGGGAGUAAAGUUAAUACCUUUGCUCAUUGACGUUACCCGCAGAAGAAGCACCGGCUAACUCCGUGCCAGCAGCCGCGGUAAUACGGAGGGUGCAAGCGUUAAUCGGAAUUACUGGGCGUAAAGCGCACGCAGGCGGUUUGUUAAGUCAGAUGUGAAAUCCCCGGGCUCAACCUGGGAACUGCAUCUGAUACUGGCAAGCUUGAGUCUCGUAGAGGGGGGUAGAAUUCCAGGUGUAGCGGUGAAAUGCGUAGAGAUCUGGAGGAAUACCGGUGGCGAAGGCGGCCCCCUGGACGAAGACUGACGCUCAGGUGCGAAAGCGUGGGGAGCAAACAGGAUUAGAUACCCUGGUAGUCCACGCCGUAAACGAUGUCGACUUGGAGGUUGUGCCCUUGAGGUGUGGCUUCCGGAGCUAACGCGUUAAGUCGACCGCCUGGGGAGUACGGCCGCAAGGUUAAAACUCAAAUGAAUUGACGGGGGCCCGCACAAGCGGUGGAGCAUGUGGUUUAAUUCGAUGCAACGCGAAGAACCUUACCUGGUCUUGACAUCCACGGAAGUUUUCAGAGAUGAGAAUGUGCCUUCGGGAACCGUGAGACAGGUGCUGCAUGGCUGUCGUCAGCUCGUGUUGUGAAAUGUUGGGUUAAGUCCCGCAACGAGCGCAACCCUUAUCCUUUGUUGCCAGCGGUCCGGCCGGGAACUCAAAGGAGACUGCCAGUGAUAAACUGGAGGAAGGUGGGGAUGACGUCAAGUCAUCAUGGCCCUUACGACCAGGGCUACACACGUGCUACAAUGGCGCAUACAAAGAGAAGCGACCUCGCGAGAGCAAGCGGACCUCAUAAAGUGCGUCGUAGUCCGGAUUGGAGUCUGCAACUCGACUCCAUGAAGUCGGAAUCGCUAGUAAUCGUGGAUCAGAAUGCCACGGUGAAUACGUUCCCGGGCCUUGUACACACCGCCCGUCACACCAUGGGAGUGGGUUGCAAAAGAAGUAGGUAGCUUAACCUUCGGGAGGGCGCUUACCACUUUGUGAUUCAUGACUGGGGUGAAGUCGUAACAAGGUAACCGUAGGGGAACCUGCGGUUGGAUCACCUCCUUACCUUAAAGAAGC
rnacentral:rRNA from 1 species